GAUGAAGAACGUAGCGAAAUGCGAUACGUAAUGUGAAUUGCAGAUUUCAGUGAAUCAUCGAAUCUUUGAACGCACAUUGCGCCCGCUAGUAUUCUGGCGGGCAUGCCUGUUCGAGCGUCAUUUCAACCAUCAAGCCCCCGGCUUGCGUUGGAGCCCUGCGGCUGCCGCAGGCUCCCAAAUCCAGUGGCGGGCUCGUCGUCGUACCGAGUGCAGUAAACAUCCUCGCUCAGGGAACGUGACGGGUUCUUGCCGUGAAACCCCCCACAUAUCAAGGUUGACCUCGGGUCAGGUAGGAAUACCCGCUGAACUUAAGCAUAUCAAUAAGCGGAGGA
rnacentral:misc_RNA from 1 species